GGAGAGGUGGCACAGUGGUUAAGAGCACUGGCUGCUCCUCCAGAAGACCUGGGUUCAAUUCCCAGCAACCACA
rnacentral:tRNA from 1 species